GACGUAGGGCGCGAGCGUUGUCCGGAUUUAUUGGGCGUAAAGAGCUCGUAGGCGGCUUGUCGCGUCGACUGUGAAAACCCGCGGCUUAACUGCGGGACUGCAGUCGAUACGGGCAGGCUAGAGUUCGGUAGGGGAGACUGGAAUUCCUGGUGUAGCGGUGAAAUGCGCAGAUAUCAGGAGGAACACCGGUGGCGAAGGCGGGUCUCUGGGCCGAUAUCGACGCUGAGGAGCGAAAGCGUGGGGAGCGAACAGG
rnacentral:rRNA from 1 species